AUGCCCUCGGAUCGUGCGCCUGGGCCGGAUGGCUUCUCGGGCCUUUUCUACAAGGUGUGUUGGGAUAUUGUUGCCAAGGAUUUCAUGGCUAUCAUGCUUGAACUCUACAGGACCAAUUUUGCCUCUUUUGGUAGGCUUAAUUCCUCUAUCAUCACUCUAUUGCCCAAAAAGGAGUGCUCUCUGCAAGUGGCGGAUUUCAGACCGAUUAACUUAAUUCAUGGAGCUGCCAAAAUCUUUGCUAAAGUUCUAGCCGUACGUCUUGCCCCUUUGCCGCCAACACUUAUCUUGCAAGUUCAGAGUGCUUUCAUCAGCCGCAGGAGUAUUCAUGAGAACUUCAAAUUUGUUUGCAAUGCUGCGAGAAUUCUGCAUCGGAAGAAAUCUCCUGCAGUUCUUAUGAAGAUUGAUAUCUCCAAAGCCUUUGACACCUUGUCCUGGGAGUUCAUUGCUACAUCUUGA
rnacentral:rRNA from 1 species